rnacentral:rRNA from 1 species
AUGAACGCUAGCUACAGGCUUAACACAUGCAAGUCGAGGGGAAACGGCAUCGAAAGCUUGCUUUUGAUGGGCGUCGACCGGCGCACGGGUGAGUAACGCGUAUCCAACCUGCCCAUCACUUGGGAAUAACCUUGCGAAAGUAAGACUAAUGCCCAAUGACAUCCCACGAAGGCAUCCGAAUGGGAUUAAAGAUUUAUCGGUGAUGGAUGGGGAUGCGUCUGAUUAGCUUGUUGGCGGGGUGACGGCCCACCAAGGCAACGAUCAGUAGGGGUUCUGAGAGGAAGGUCCCCCACAUUGGAACUGAGACACGGUCCAAACUCCUACGGGAGGCAGCAGUGAGGAAUAUUGGUCAAUGGGCGAGAGCCUGAACCAGCCAAGUAGCGUGCAGGAUGACGGCCCUAUGGGUUGUAAACUGCUUUUAUAAGGGAAUAAAGUGGGUCACGUGUGACUUUUUGCAUGUACCUUAUGAAUAAGGACCGGCUAAUUCCGU